rnacentral:rRNA from 1 species
UACGGAGGAUGCGAGCGUUAUCCGGAUUUAUUGGGUUUAAAGGGUGCGUAGGCGGUCUGUUAAGUCAGCGGUCAAAGCCCGGGGCACAACCUCCGCCCGCCGUUGAAACUGACGGUCUUGAGUGGGCGAGAAGUAUGCGGAAUGCGCGGUGUAGCGGUGAAAUGCAUAGAUAUCGCGCAGAACUCCGAUUGCGAAGGCAGCAUGCCGGCUCCACACUGACGCUGAGGCACGAAAGCGUGGGUAGCGAACAGG